rnacentral:tRNA from 1 species
CGGGGUGUGGCGCAGCUUGGUUAGCGCACCUGCUUUGGGAGCAGGGGGCCGCCGGUUCGAAUCCGGCCACCCCGACCA